rnacentral:rRNA from 1 species
UACAUGUGGGGCAAGCGUUGUUCGGAAUUACUGGGCAUAAAGGGUGCGUAGGCGGUUUGUUAAGUCACUGGUGAAAGUUUUCGGCCCAACCGGAAAAUUGCCUGUGAUACUGGCGAACUUGAGUGCGUGAGGGGUGGGGGGAACGAGCAGUGUAGCGGUGAAAUGCGUAGAUAUAUAGAUGAACACCAAAGGCGAAGGCAGUUAACUAUUCUGUUCCUGACACUGAGGCACGAAAGCGUGGGGAGCGAAACGG